CAGGAAGAGAUGAGGAAAAAGGACAAGAGGGGAGGAGGAGAGGAGAGGAGGUGGGAGGGCAACAUGAUGUCUAAACCUUCUCAUGUAAACGAGAGGAGAGGAGAGGAGACUGUGACAUGUUAUGACUCAUGUCAAAGAGAGGAGAAACAGUCAGAGAAGAAAAGAGUCAUGAAGAGAUGAGGGAAAAUUGAGGAGAGGAGGUGGAGGGCAACAUGAUGUCUAAACAUAUUAUC